rnacentral:rRNA from 1 species
AGCAGCCGCGGUAAUUCCAGCUCCAAUAGCGUAUAUUAAAGUUGUUGCAGUUAAAAAGCUCGUAGUUGAAUUUCGGGGUUAGUAGGUUGGUCAUGCCUCUGGUAUGUACUGGUCUCACUGAUUCCUCCUUCCUGAUGAGCCGUAAUGCCAUUAAUUUGGUGUUGCGGGGAAUUUGGACUGUUACUUUGAAAAAAUUAGAGUGUUUAAAGCAAGCUAACGCUUGAAUACAUUAGCAUGGAAUAAUGAAAUAGGACGUUCGAUCCUAUUUUGUUGGUUUCUAGGAUUGACGUAAUGAUUAAUAGGGAUAGUUGGGGGCAUUAGUAUUCAAUUGUCAGAGGUGAAAUUCUUGGAUUUAUUGAAGACUAACUACUGCGAAAGCAUUUGCCAAGGAUGUUUUCAUUAAUCAAGAACGAAAGUUAGGGGAUCGAAGACGAUCAGAUACCGUCGUAGUCUUAACCAUAAACUAUGCCGACUAGGGAUCGGAUGAUGCUAAUUUUUUAAUGACUCA